rnacentral:tRNA from 1 species
GAUUCCAUAGCAUAACGGUAGUGCGUCAGACUCCAGUCCCACCCCAUGGACUCGUGAGUCUUCAACGAAACACAUGAAGAGAGCUAUCUGAAGGUUCGGGGUUCGAAUCCCUGUGGGAUCA